rnacentral:tRNA from 3 species
GCCGGCGUGAUGGAAUUGGUAGACUUGCUAGACUCAAAAUCUUGUGGGGGUAACCCCGUGUCGGUUCGAGCCCGACCGCCGGCA